rnacentral:rRNA from 1 species
UGGGGAAUCUUAGACAAUGGGGGAAACCCUGAUCUAGCCAUGCCGCGUGAGCGAUGAAGGCCUUAGGGUUGUAAAGCUCUUUCAGCUGGGAAGAUAAUGACGGUACCAGCAGAAGAAGCCCCGGCUAACUCCGUGCCAGCAGCCGCGGUAAUACGGAGGGGGCUAGCGUUGUUCGGAAUUACUGGGCGUAAAGCGCACGUAGGCGGAUUAGUCAGUCAGAGGUGAAAUCCCAGGGCUCAACCCUGGAACUGCCUUUGAUACUGCUAGUCUUGAGGUCGAGAGAGGUGAGUGGAAUUCCCGAGUGUAGAGGUGAAAUUCGUAGAUAUUCGGAGGAACACCAGUGGCGAAGGCGGCUCACUGGCUCGAUACUGACGCUGAGGUGCGAAAGCGUGGGGNGCAAACAGAUUAGAUACCCUGGUAGUCCACGCCGUAAACGAUGAAUGCCAGUCGUCGGGUUGCAUGCAAUUUCGGUGACACACCUAACGGNUUAAGCUUCCGCCUGGGGAGUACGGUCGCAAGAUUAAAA